rnacentral:rRNA from 1 species
ACUGAACCGGGAAGAGCCCAUCGCAUAAGCUCGUGUCCCCUACCGGCCACGAGCGGUGUUGCGUUUCGGAGGGUCCAGCACGCCGUCCCAUACCGCCUAAGUCAAGCUUGAACGCGGCCACUACCCAUGGAGGGUGACAGGCCCGUAUGGCGGCGCCCGCGAGGGUACAGAUGGGGCGGUCGGAAAGGGCCUCUCCGUAGAGUCGGGUUGCUUGAAAGUGCAGCCCAAAGCAGGUGGUAAACUCCAUCUAAGGCUAAAUAUGACCACGAGACCGAUAGCGAACAAGUACCGUGAGGGAAAGUUGAAAAGAACUUUGAAGAGAGAGUUCAAGAGUACGUGAAACCGUCAAGAGCCAAACGGGUGGAGGCUCGAAGGUCGAAGUGAGGGGAUUCAGCUCGUCGGCUGGCUGUCUGGCUGGCAGGUGGUGUCACGGCACGACCCUAAUCGUGGGCGUCCCACCUGUGGAGCUGGCGUCGGCGGGCGUACUUCGCCUCGUAGUAGGUCGCCGCGACCCGUUGCUGGGGACGUCGAAGGCCCGGAUGGAUUGGUACCCCGCCGCCCGCGCUGGCUUCGCCAUCUCGGGCGGUAGGGGGAAACCUUCGGUGUCCUGGCUGCCCUGCGACGGUCGAUGAGACGAGCCCCCUCCUCCUGGUGGGGUCUCUCGCGGCGUGCAAAAGGUCGGCGCUCCACCCGUCCCGUCUUGAAACACGGGCCAAGGAGUCCAACAUGUGUGCGAGUCAUUGGGCGCACUAAACCCAAAGGCACAAUGAAAGUGAGACGGCUCGGCCUCCCCCUCUUCGGGGGGUGGCGGCCUUGCCAGGGCCGAUCCCCGACCGGCUGCCUGCUCCGGCUCCCUCCCGUCGCGACACGCGGGGUGAGUCCCUUUCCUCCGCCUCUGUCUUGUCGGGGGUCCUUUGGGGUCGGUGGGCGAAGGUCUUUUUAUUCUGUGGAAACCUGCUCGCAGGGGGGCGCAGGCCCGGGACUUGCCAUGGACGCCGCUUGUCCCAUGCUCCCUCGGGGGCUGGGCGAGCGCUCAGUCGGCAAGUACCAGGAGCAGGCAUGUUGGGACCCGAAAGAUGGUGAACUAUGCCUGGCCAGGAUGAAGCCAGAGGAAACUCUGGUGGAGGUCCGUAGCGAUUCUGACGUGCAAAUCGAUCGUCAGAGCUGGGUAUAGGGGCGAAAGACUAAUCGAACCAUCUAGUAGCUGGUUCCCUCCGAAGUUUCCCUCAGGAUAGCUGGAACUCGCCACCAGAUGAAUUUCAUCCGGUAAAGCGAAUGAUUAGAGGUCUUGGGGACGAAACGUCCUCAACCUAUUCUCAAACUUUAAAUGGGUGAGAUGCCGAGCUUGCUUAAAAGAUGAAGCUUCGGCGACGAAUCGGAGUUCCUAGUGGGCCACUUUUGGUAAGCAGAACUGGCGCUGUGGGAUGAACCAAACGUCGAGUUAAGGGGCCUAAAUGAAUGCUCAUUCAGAUCCCAUCGAAAGGUGUUGGUUGCUAUAGACAGCAGGACGGUGGCCAUGGAAGUUGGAAUCCGCUAAGGAGUGUGUAACAACUCACCUGCCGAAGCAACUAGCCCUUAAAAUGGUAUGGCGCUCAAGCAUUCUCCCGAUACUCGACCGCCGGGGCAUUACCGGCCUGGCCACAACAAGGGCCAGGUCUCGAAGCCCCGGCGAGUAGGAGGGUCGCGGUGGUGUGCGCUGAAGGGUUCGGCGUGAGCCGGCCUGGAGCCUCCACCGGUGCAGAUCUUGGUGGUAGUAGCAAAUAAUCGAGAGAGACUCCCUUGAAGGCCGAAGUGGAGAAGGGUUCCAUGUGAACAUCAGUUGGACAUGGGUUAGUCGCUCCUAAGCCCAAGGCGAAGGCCUGAUCCCACGCUAGAGGCAACGACCACACGCACGCAGCUUUGGAUUGUGAUGAGUAAAGAGUUGGGCGCCACUGCGAGUGUCGAGCGGACGGAAGAAGUUGUCCUCGUCCGCUCGGCAGCCCACGGGGAGUUGCCAGAGGGGAUUAGUGGCGAAAGGGAAUACGGUCAUUAUUCCGUAACCAGGACCCGGAUGCCUAACAGUUGUAAGCGCCCUUGCCCCCCGGGCAGGGGAAUGCUGCUCUGUGCAGGAGCCCGGUAACGGGAACCAGCUCGCGUCCGUCGGCGGUGGUCCGGGAAAGAGUUUUCUUUUCUGUUUAAGGCGCCGUGACCCUGGAAGCCAUUCGCAGAGAGAAAGGGUGUUUGUAACACGGUUAGCCGUAGAGCGCCGCGGUUCUUGCGGCGUCCCGAGCGCCACCGCCGGCCCGUGAAACAUGCGAGGGCGGUAACUGAGGUCAAGCGGACUCCCCAAAGUCCGCGACGCCUACUUUCGGGCCAGUGCGUACCCAUAUCCGCAGCCGGUCUCCGAGGUAAGAAGCCUCUGGUCGAUAGAUUA